UACGGAGGGUGCGAGCGUUAAUCGGAAUUACUGGGCGUAAAGGGUGCGUAGGUGGUUUGUUACGUCUGCUGUGAAAACCUAGGGCUUAACCCUGGGCCUGCAGUGGAUACGGGCAGACUAGAGGUAGGUAGGGGAGAAUGGAAUUCCCGGUGUAGCGGUGAAAUGCGCAGAUAUCGGGAGGAACACCGGUGGCGAAGGCGGUUCUCUGGGCCUUACCUGACACUGAGGAGCGAAAGCGUGGGGAGCGAACAGG
rnacentral:rRNA from 1 species